rnacentral:tRNA from 1 species
GAAGAAGUGAGCAAGAACUGCUAACUCAUGCUACCGCGUUUAAACCCGCGGCUUUUUCA